rnacentral:lncRNA from 1 species
CUAGGUUCUUCCGUUCAGCGUGCGCGGCUUUGUGUAUAUGUUGUAGCAUGAUAUUGAGUGACACAAUUUUAAACAGUGAACAAGUUUUGGAAAAUAGCGUAGAACAUCAGGUGAGGAUUUACAUAUGAAUAGUUUGCAUAUACAAAAACAAUGAAAAGAGAGAAGUUUCGUCAAUAAUAAGUUAGUCAUUAUUUAUUGAUUUUCAUGCCUGUCGACUCAUCGUUCCGACAUUGUUAAGUCUGAUGAAGACACGAGGCAAAACAUGAAUAAAUAAUAAUUUUAUUUAAAUCUUUGGAAUUAACAAUUACGUAAAACUCUUAUAUGUUAGCCUUUUUCAGACGAAAUUGAUUUAUUGCAUAUAGACAAUAUGCACGCCAUGUCACGUGAUUUGGGAAGACGUUCUCGUAAUCGUUUGACGUCACAUGGCAUGCGGAAAUGUCUGACGUCACAAUUUUACUGUCAAUAUAAUGUGAUGUCAAUAGGUCAAAUUUGAUAGAAUCCAAAAUAAUGAGAUAUACAAUGAUUUAAUUGAUUGUUAUUGCUAAUAUAUAUCCAGUGGGAAAUAUUUCAUUUAACAUUUAGUGAUUUUUUAGGACAUUUUUAUUAAUUAAUACACCUUAUCGCUAUUUGUCCGCCAUUGCUGGAAAUCACACAGGUUCCCGUAAAAUUUUGAAGUCGUAAAACAAAAUAUCUGACGCCACAAUGGAAAAGUGAUUGUUGUUGACGUCAAAGUUCAAGCGGCCGGGUCAGCCGGGAUUAGCGAUAAGGUGUAUUAAUACUAUUGCUAUUUGUCUGCCAUUACUGGACAUCUCAAAAGUUCCGGUACAAUUUUGACGUCAUAAAAGAAAAUAUUUGAUGACACAAUGGAAUAGUGAUUGUUGUAUUAUGUCAAGACAGGACAACUGUCAACGUAUAUUUGUUCCGCCUAACAGAAGUUCCUAUGGAAACUGUUAUAAACAUUGUCAUAAUAUCUAUUCCUGUUGGAACAAAUAUUAUAUACCAUUUAUUCUGUUAGGAACAUAUACUGUAAUUUAUUCCUGUGGAAAUAAUAUUCCGGAAUAUUUUUUCCUUUUGGAAAUUGGAACUAAUCUUAUGAAGGAACUUCUAUUCCGUGACACCACAACCAUAACCGAAACCUAUUGAUAUGAUGGAUGGGUGUUAAACCAUCUUGAUGCUGCAAAUUUAAUAUGGUUGCAUUUUGUUUUCCUGAAAUAAUGCCAAACUAUGACAUCAUUUGACACAUGAUGUCCAAGAAAUCAUUUUUAUUCUUAUCAGACAAAGACCCAAUUUCUUUUGGAUCAAAGCGCUCAAUGCAAAGGGAAAUGUAAGCUGUUCCAGUAAAAGAACACACAUUUGAUAUUGACAAAACAACAAAGAAAAUUAAUUAAGUGGCAAUCUUGAACAACAUACAAUAACAUACUUUGACAGAUUUGGAUGAAUUUAUUGG